GUCCAAGUCACGUGAUCGUCGAAUCUGUUGACCUGGCGCCACCGGAAAAAGAAAUUCCCGGGCCCUGGCUUCUUGGCCUGAUGGUGACCCCUCAUGCUGCUGCUCCCUCUGCUGAAACCCAAACUGCAAACCUCUCCUCUCCCUGCCUUCACCUUGCCCCACGGCUUCCACAGACAGUGCCUCAACCCCGAGGAAUGAAUCCGAAGUUCCAACACCACUGACUUUCCCAGGAACUCAGAGCCAGAGAGGGCCAAGGACCAGCUCGAGGACACACAGCCAGGGCUUCUUCCCUCCGAAACCCCCAAGGACUGGACUUGCAGGGCUGGGACAGAGGUGGGGUGGGGGAAAGCAAUGCCUUGUCAACCCACGUGGGGAGCCCCACUCCCAUCCCCAAGGUGCAUAAAGUUGAGGAACACCCCUGC
rnacentral:lncRNA from 1 species